AGGGUUUGAUUCUGGCUCAGAACGAACGCUGGCGGCAGGCUUAACACAUGCAAGUCAAGGGGGCACAGAGAUGUGCAACCGGCGCACGGGUGAGUAACGCGUGGGAACAAAUCCUUGAGUGGGGGAUAGCUUCUGGAAACGGAAGGUAAUACCGCAUGACCCCUGAGGGGGAAAGAUUUAUCGCUGAAGGAAUGGCCCGCGUUGGAUUAGUUAGUUGGUUAGGUAAAGGCUGACCAAGGCGAUGAUCCAUAGCUGGUCUGAGAGGACGAUCAGCCACAUUGGGACUGAGACACGGCCCAG
rnacentral:rRNA from 1 species